AGUCAAGAUCUCUUUCUAUCUCAAACCGUUGACUUUUUCAAAAGUGUAGAAGUUGCUGAUAUUUAGGGUUGGUGAGAGUGUGCAGGAAUGGGUCCUCUUGUUUACUGUUAUAAAGGGAUGCAAUAUUCUUGUCUUUGGACUUGGAAUUGCUCAUCAUUUUUAAGGGAAACAUUCCCAGCCCUAGCAAAUCCAUUUCCAUCUCAUAAAAAUAGUCAUAGAAGUAUAAAUAUUAAAUACAUCACAUAUUUACAGAUUUUUAAAUAAAUCCAAGUGUUUGUCAAUAGGGAAAAUUUAAUUAUGAUUCCAUCGGUAUAAACAUGGAAAUGUAUCCUUCAUAUACCACUGAGAGCAAAAAGCAAAUUCCAGAACAAUGUGCAUAGUAUGAUCCCAUUAAAAGCCAAAAUAGGAUAAAAUAACUAUGUCUAUGUAUUUAAUAGGUGAACAUAGGUUCAUACACAGAGAAAGCCCAGAAGCAUAUGUAUUAAAAUACUAACCAUUAUCUUUCCAAUGGGAAGGAAUGGGAACAGUGUUGGAAACACUGACUUUUACUUUAUGUUUUAUUUUGUGAAUCAGUUUUUUUAUUUGAGCAAAAAUUUUUUAUAAUAGAAAAUAAAGUCACAUAAUUUAAACCCCUAUCUCCCAAAUACAGGAAGGUGGACAGUAAAAACUUUUUAUCCACUUCAGUCCCCAGCCCACCCAUACAACAUCUAUUGUUAGUUUUUUUUACUAUUUGUGUGUCUGUGAGAGAGAGAGACAUGGAGGCUUGCUCUUGUUGCCCAGGUUUGAGUGCAAUGGAGUGACCUUGGCUCACUGCAACCUCCGCCUUUGGGGCUCAAGUGAUUCUUCUGCCUCAGCCUCCUGAGUAGCUGGGAUUACAGUGUGCGCCACCACACCUGACUAAUUUUUUGUAUUUUUUGUAUUUGUAAUUUAGUAAAAAUUUGUAUUUUUAGUAUUUUGUAUUUUGUAUUUUUAGUACAGAUGGGGUUUCACCAUGUUAGCCAGCUUGGUCUCAAACUCCUGACCUCAGAUGAUCCGCCCUCCUUGGCCUCUCAAAGUGCUGGGAUCUAUUGUUAGCUUCUUAGUGUCCUUCUAGAAUUUAUUUAUGCACCUGAGGACAAAUACAGAUAUGCUUUCUUGUUCUCUCUUUUUCUUUUCCACAAAAAGUAGAACAUUGCUUGCUGGCUGACAUUUUAUUUUUUCCUUCAUAUAUGUUACUGUUUUUUUGUUUGGAAAAUUUUUUUUUUACAGUGGUCUCUAUUUCUUUAAAAUUAAAAUAAAUGAGAAGUGUUGGAUCUUAGGUGGGAAAGAGUUGCAGCUGUAGGGAGAGGCU
rnacentral:lncRNA from 1 species